UUCUGCCUACGGGAGGCAGCAGUGAGGAAUAUUGGUCAAUGGCCGAGAGGCUGAACCAGCCAAGUCGCGUGAGGGAAGACGGCCCUACGGGUUGUAAACCUCUUUAGGCGGGGAGCAAUGCCGGGCACGCGUGCCCGGAGGGAGAGUACCCGCAGAAUAAGCAUCGGCUAACUCCGUGCCAGCAGCCGCGGUAAUACGGAGGAUGCGAGCGUUAUCCGGAUUUAUUGGGUUUAAAGGGUGCGUAGGCGGAUUUUUAAGUCAGCGGUAAAAUGUCCGGGCUCAACCCGGGCCGGCCGUUGAAACUG
rnacentral:rRNA from 1 species